GGGCACUACGAGCAUAAGCUUGAAACCUAAAGGACUUGGCGGUGCUUUAGUCCCACCUAGAGGAGCCUGUUCUAUAACCGAUAACCCCCGUUAAACCUCACCUUUUCUUGUUUUUCCCGCCUAUAUACCGCCGUCGUCAGCUUACCCUGUGAAGGUUUACUAGUAAGCAAAAUUGAUUUAAUCUAAAACGUCAGGUCGAGGUGUAGCAUAUGAAAAGGAAAGAAAUGGGCUACAUUUCCUAUUUUAGGAUAUAACGGAAAUUGACAUGAAAUACGCAUAUUAAAGGAGGAUUUAGCAGUAAGAAGGGAAUAGAGAGCCCUACUGAAACUGGCCCUGAAGCGCGCACACACCGCCCGUCACUCUCCCUGUACCAUAUUAAUUCAUAUAUAAUAAAAAUUCGGAUAAAGGGGAGGCAAGUCGUAACAUGGUAAGUAUACCGGAAGGUGUACUUGGCUAAAC
rnacentral:rRNA from 1 species